rnacentral:rRNA from 1 species
GACGAACGCUGGCGGCGUGCUUAACACAUGCAAGUCGAACGGAAAGGCCUGCUUUCCCUUGUGGAUUGCGGGUACUCGAGUGGCGAACGGGUGAGUAACACGUGAGCGAUCUGCCCCCAACUUGGGUAUAAGCCUGGGAAACUGGGUCUAAUUCCCGAUAGGACUGCAGGGUGGUGCCUGUGGUGGAAAACGAUUUUCUAGUGGUUGGGGAUGAGCUCGCGGCCUAUCAGCUUGUUGGUGGGGUAAUGACCUACCAAGGCGGCGACGGGUAGCCGGCCUGAGAGGGUGGACGGCCACAUUGGGACUGAGAUACGGCCCAGACUCCUACGGGAGGCAGCAGUGGGGAAUAUUGCACCAUGGGCGGAAGCCUGAUGCAGCGACGCCGCGUGGGGGAUGACGGCCUUCGGGUUGUAAACUCCUUUCGACCGCGAGGAAGCCACCUGGUUGGAAGGGUGGUGACGGUAGUGGUAGAAGAAGCACCGGCUAACUACGUG